AACUUCUCAAACCACAUCAGAUUGAUGUUGGCUUUGGAUGUGGGGGUUGUUUUUGCAGGCUUUCUUGUAGAAGGUCGGCUCCCCUGAAAUGAAUUAGUGGUAUCUGAGGCUACUACUGUGGGUGUGAUAACUAUCUAUGCCUUUGGUAUGCCACAUGAACAGAUUACAUCGCUUCUAACAAAACAAAUGUUGAUAA
rnacentral:misc_RNA from 1 species